rnacentral:rRNA from 1 species
GAACGCUGGCGGCAGGCCUAACACAUGCAAGUCGAGCGGAUGAGUGGAGCUUGCUCCAUGAUUCAGCGGCGGACGGGUGAGUAAUGCCUAGGAAUCUGCCUGGUAGUGGGGGACAACGUUUCGAAAGGAACGCUAAUACCGCAUACGUCCUACGGGAGAAAGCAGGGGACCUUCGGGCCUUGCGCUAUCAGAUGAGCCUAGGUCGGAUUAGCUAGUAGGUGAGGUAAUGGCUCACCUAGGCGACGAUCCGUAACUGGUCUGAGAGGAUGAUCAGUCACACUGGAACUGAGACACGGUCCAGACUCCUACGGGAGGCAGCAGUGGGGAAUAUUGGACAAUGGGCGAAAGCCUGAUCCAGCCAUGCCGCGUGUGUGAAGAAGGUCUUCGGAUUGUAAAGCACUUUAAGUUGGGAGGAAGGGCAGUAAGUUAAUACCUUGCUGUUUUGACGUUACCAACAGAAUAAGCACCGGCUAACUUCGUG